rnacentral:rRNA from 1 species
AGGAUGAACGCUGGCGGCGUGCUUAACACAUGCAAGUCGAACGGUGAAGCAGGAGCUUGCUCCUGUGGAUCAGUGGCGAACGGGUGAGUAACACGUGAGAAAUCUGCCCUGGACUCUGGGAUAAGCGUUGGAAACGACGUCUAAUACCGGAUACGAGCUUCAGCCGCAUGGCUAGGAGCUGGAAAGAACUUCGGUCCAGGAUGAUCUCGCGGCCUAUCAGCUAGUUGGUGAGGUACGCCACCAAGGCGACGGACGGUAGCCGGCCUGAGAGGGUGACCGGCCACGACUGGGACUGAGACGACGGCCCAGACUCCGAACGGGAGCAGCGAAGGUGGGAAUAGUUGCACAAAGUGGGACGCAAGGACCGUGACUG